UACGAAGGGUGCAAGCGUUACUCGGAAUUACUGGGCGUAAAGCGUGCGUAGGUGGUGGGUUAAGUCUGUCGUGAAAGCCCCGGGCUCAACCUGGGAAUGGCGAUGGAUACUGGCUCGCUAGAGUGCGGUAGAGGAGAGUGGAAUUCCCGGUGUAGCAGUGAAAUGCGUAGAGAUCGGAAAGAACACCAACGGCGAAAGCACUCUGCUGGGCCGACACUGACACUGAGAGACGAAAGCUAGGGGAGCGAAUGGG
rnacentral:rRNA from 1 species